UCAGUCAUACUCCGAUUUCACCAUGAUAUUUUUGGUCAUUUUACUAUAACAUUCCAGCAAGGUUUUUAAAAUUGUUUGUACUCAUAUUUUUAAGACACCACCUUGCUGAGUAGCACGAUGGCUUCCUCUACAGCUAGCACCAAAGCAGACCCAUUUUCCUUGGAAAACAUUAAUGAUAACUCUACAGCUAACACUAUAGCAG
rnacentral:lncRNA from 1 species